CUUAAAACAUGCUUUGAUGACCUGGGGUGAAAAACUUUCUGAUAAGGAGGUUGAAGAUGCUUUCAAAGAAGCUCCAAUGGACAACAAUGGUAAAAUCGACUUAAAGAAAUUUGCUCAAAUUCUUACAAGAGGAGCCGACGAGGAAGAAGAAGCAGGAACGUAAUCGGGCACAAGAGGAACACAGAAGACUGGUUUUCUGUCUUGCUGAAAUCUUUAACACUAGCAGUUGUGAUUACCUACUCACUUUCAGCCAGAAUUAGUCUCGAAUCGCAACUCAUUGGAUUGUGUGAGAAAGCUUGAAUAACUCCCGCACUCAUAAAUCUUCUUGGUUUCCAGGCUCAAAAACAAUUACAGCGGUUACAAAAGUAUAUAAUCGUGUUGAUCCUCACUGUAACAUUUGUGUGGCUGUUUUAAAGCUAUUUCUCAGGAUCUUCAUUUAGUGUGUUGUGGCUUUCUCUAUGACUUUUACACUUUCUGGAAGAAACAAAUAUCUCUGUGUAACAACAAUC